UAAGAGCGUGCAUCCUAGUUAGGCGUCCACACUUAUCGGUUUGUUUGAUGUUACAGCCAAGGGUCUGUAGCUCAGGUGGUUAGAGCACCGUCUUGAUAAGGCGGGGGUCGUAGGUUCAAGUCCUACCAGACCCACCAAGUUACGGGCGGCGGAGAGCGAUCUUGCCGUGAACUGGGGGAUUAGCUCAGCUGGGAGAGCACCUGCUUUGCAAGCAGGGGGUCGUCGGUUCGAUCCCGUCAUCCUCCACCAACACCUUGUGGUAGCCAAACGCAAGCAUCGAGAGAUCGGUGUUUGCGUUUGGCAUUGCCAAGACGAGUAGUAACUCGGCUGUUCUUUAACAAUAUGGAAUGUAGUAAAGGUGUCGCGGCGCGUUGAUGAGGCGCGCAAUUUAAACGCGACACUGGGUUGUGAUUGUAUCAACCAGUAUUACGAGUGAUCGAAAGACCGCUUGGAAUACGGCACAACGCGAGAACUCAGC
rnacentral:tRNA from 1 species